UAUUAUUUUAUAUGUAAAUAUGGGAAAACUGGAGUAGUAUUAGUUAUGACCUUGAAACUCAAAGAAUUUGGCGGUAUUUUAUUCCUUUCAGAGGAAUCUGUUCUAUAAUCGAUAAUACACGAUUUAUUUAACUUAGUUUAGUUACAGUUUGUAUACCGCCGUCAUAAGAUUAUCUUAUGGAGAGGGAAAAAUUUCUUGAAUUUAUAGUAAAAUUUAUGUCAGGUCAAGGUGCAGCUUAUGAUUAAGUAGAAAUGGAUUACAAUAAUAUUAAUUAUUAUGGAUAAUUGAUUGAAAAUCAAUUUAAAAGUGGAUUUGAUUGUAAAUUAAUAUAAAAUGAUUUAUUGAUUAGGGCUCUAGAAUGUGCACAUAUCGCCCGUCGCUCUCGUUUUAAGAUGAG
rnacentral:rRNA from 1 species